GAUGAACGCUGGCGGCGUGCUUAACACAUGCAAGUCGAACGGAAAGGCCCCAGCUUGCUGGGGUACUCGAGUGGCGAACGGGUGAGUAACACGUGGGUGAUCUGCCUUGCACUUUGGGAUAAGCUUGGGAAACUGGGUCUAAUACCGAAUAUGACCACUUCUUGGAUGUUGUGGUGGAAAGCUUUUGCGGUGUGGGAUGAGCCCGCGGCCUAUCAGCUUGUUGGUGGGGUAAUGGCCUACCAAGGCGGCGACGGGUAUCCGGCCUGAGAGGGUGUACGGACACAUUGGGACUGAGAUACGGCCCAGACUCCUACGGGAGGCAGCAGUGGGGAAUAUUGCACAAUGGGCGCAAGCCUGAUGCGGCGACGCCGCGUGGGGGAUGAAGGCCUUCGGGUUGUAAACUCCUUUCGCUAUCGACGAAGCCACUUGUGGUGACGGUAGGUAGAUAAGAAGCACCGGCUAACUACGUGCCAGCCGCCGCAGUAA
rnacentral:rRNA from 1 species